UUAGCCGAUGCAAAGCCAAGUGCAACUUCAAUUCAGAUAGCUAUGGCGGACGAGGACCCAUUUGGCGCCUACCAUAGGCUUCCUUCCUUCAUCAAAGUGUUUUCCAUGUCCCGCAACAAAGCCGAGCUGCGACUCCCUCCGCAAUGGGUUGCGGAACAUGGGGAUGACCUACCGUUUGACUAUCGACUCGUAAUGCCAAUUGGAUCACGAUGACCAGUCCGUUUACUGAAAAUAGCAAGUGGCUGCCACUUUUGCGUUGGAUGGGCAGAAUUCUGGCGUGGGAAUAAUAUUUCCCAUGGUGAGAAGCUUAGUUUCACCCUCGUCGAUGUGAGGAUUUUCCACGUCAAAAGAUACAAAUCGGGGACCGGGUGCCCACCACUCGGCAAUCUCGAGCCGUUGACCGAAGAGGAAGAGGACGAAGAGAUCUACAACCCCGACAUUGAUUCGUCGGACGAUUAUGCCCCAUCCGACGGGGAAUCGGAGUUGGCGGACGACAGUGACUACGACGACGAUCGGGGUGCGCUUGCUGACGAUGAGUAUCCCACAUGGACGUUGAAGCUGACCAAGUCGAAUAUCAAGCAAACAAUAGAAAUACCGACUGACUUUUGGCAACUCCUCGUCCGUGCCGCGCCUCAGCAUGAUGUCGUGCAUUUUCUGGUCGACGGGCAAACUUGGAGGCUCUUUCUCAAACAUAGCUCGGGCAAGAUCUGGAUCAAGCAUGGAUGGCGUCGCUUCAAAGAUGCCAAUGCUUUGUUCCCGGGUGUUCGUUGCCAUUUUAAGCUCGUCGAUGCUCAAGACAUCCAGUUCUAUGUAUGGUUUGAUCGGCCUUGAGCAGCGUGUGUGUUCUCAUUGAGAUGCGGCUAUGUUCUUAGUUCUUAUGGUUUGGUAUGUUUGUGUCAAAUGUGGUGUGCGCAUUUUCCCUUAACUAGUAAUGCAACCACUUAUGUAAUGUAGAUGCUUGUAUCCAAUGUGAUGUUAUCAAUACUACGUUUGUUGCACUA